rnacentral:rRNA from 1 species
AGCGAACGCUGGCGGCAGGCCUAACACAUGCAAGUCGAACGAACCUUUCGGGGUUAGUGGCGGACGGGUGAGUAACACGUGGGAACGUGCCUUUAGGUUCGGAAUAACUCAGGGAAAGUUGUGCUAAUACCGAAUGUGCCCUUCGGGGGAAAGAUUUAUCGCCUUUAGAGGGGCCCGCGUCUGAUUAGCUAGUUGGUUGAGGUAAUGGCUCACCAAGGCGACGAUCAGUAGCUGGUCUGAGAGGAUGAUCAGCCACAUUGGGACUGAGACACGGCCCAAACUCCUACGGGAGGCAGCAGUGGGGAAUCUUGCGCAAUGGGCGAAAGCCUGACGCAGCCAUGCCGCGUGAAUGAUGAAGGUCUUAGGAUUGUAAUAUUCUUUCACCGGGGACGAUAAUGACGGUACCCGGAGAAGAAGCCCCGGCUAACUUCGUG